UGUCAUCUCUAAAACAGUUGUGUUUACACCGUUUCUAUUUCCAGUUCAUCCAACUCGUUUGUCUGCGCCGAAACACAAUUAAAUAGGCAACCCUCUUGAAACUCUUAACCAGUAUUGAACUUCUGUACACUCAUUCGUUAUUUAGAUGUGGACGUUGAUAAAGAGCUAUGCCUGUUUAUUUCCUAGAGGUGACAUCGCCGCCAGAAGAGGUUCGCUGGAAAUUAUACGUUUUCCCCAUCUAGUUUCGUGCAUCGCUGCACCGCCGGAGUGCGGAAGUGGUCCGUGGUCCGUGGUCCGUGCUCCGUGUCCACGUCCACUUGCCAUCCCGCCACGAUGUCCGUGCCCAUCCGGCAGCCGUUUAAGUGUUUUGCACCAAAAACAAAUCCCAACUGCAUGCAACAAUAAUAUUGCAGUGCAACGAUUUCCACAAUUAUGCAAAUCGAACCCACUUGCAAUUAUCGCAGCCGCAUGACGGAAGUUUCGAAUGCGAAUCGCAGUGCCAGCUCGAGAUCACCCUGUAAAAGAUACCAACCGAAGGAGCCACCA